rnacentral:rRNA from 1 species
GACGAACGCUGGCGGCGUGCUUAACACAUGCAAGUCGAACGCUGAAGCUCAGCUUUUGUUGGGUGGAUGAGUGGCGAACGGGUGAGUAACACGUGAGUAACCUGCCUCCUUCUUUGGGAUAACGCCCGGAAACGGGCGCUAAUACUGGAUAUUCACUGGUCUUCGCAUGGGGGUUGGUGGAAAGGGUUUUUCUGGUGGGGGAUGGGGUCGCGGCCUAUCAGGUUGUUGGUGGGGUGAUGGCCUACCAAGGCUUUGACGGGUAGGCGGCCUGGGAGGGUGACUGGGCACAUUAGGGGUGAGAUACGGCCCGGGCUCCUGCGGGGAGCAGCAGGGGGGAAUAUUGCGCAAUAGGCGGAAGCCUGAUGCGGCGACGCAGCGAGAGGGAUGGAGGCCUUCGGGUUGUGAACCUCUUUGGAUAAUGGUCAAGCCGCAGAAAUGGUUGGAGUGAGGGUAGUGGGUAAAGAAGCGCCGGCUAACUACGUG